UUCUCACUCCUUAAAUGGAGAAUCUGUAGACAAGCAAGCAGGCUCCCAGUCAGAGCAGCCAGUGCUGUCCAAACAAGUUGUUAGAGUUUACCUCGGACUCUGGAGUUGUGUAUAAGUAUCUCUUUAUUCAAUAUGCAUAUCGGACUCACUCAUGUCCUGGCAGACAAGACAGAAGCAAAGUUGAACACAUCACACCAGGAUCAUAUAGGUUGAAGUUUGAUUCUCUGACGCCAAAGCACUAUGUCAGCAGAGAUAAUCACAUGGUGGGUUCCCACUUCCGAGGUCAUCUUACUACGCUUUUUGCAACGUUUGUGUGUACAUGUUCCAGAUGUAGGAAAGAAGAACACAUAGUCUUUCUUUCCAGCUACUUACGUACACUUAAGUUUUAAGCCCACAUACAAAGCCAGAAAGGUCAGCACUUAAGACACAAAGGUAUGUGAUAACCACACAUACAUGAUUAUAGUCAGAGUUUUACAUUUCUCUACCAUUAGUCCUUUUCCACACACACACACACACACACACACACACACACACACACACACACACACACGCCGGUACACAAGCAACUCUGUGCACACAGCAGACUCAGAGAUGAUUCUGUUUUCCCCAAACACAUGCAUGCAUUCAUGCCAUCUUAUGGAUACUUGAUUGACAGGUGGCAGGUAGACAAGUGUCCAAGUAGGACUUCUUACUGAUUGCAUUUAGUCAUUCUGUUAUUUUUGUACACAACUACACACCUUUUCUUUUUUUCUUUCAAAGCUAAGCUACCACCUUACUACGUCUGACCUCCGACCCCAAAUUUCAGGCCUUCUCGUUCCACACCCCGAGCUCCAAUCUGUAAUUGUGUAAUUUGGGGAUCUAACGGGCUAGGCGAUGUGGUGCAAGCAACUCCAUGCACACGGCAGACUCAAGAGAUGAUUCUGAUCACCACAACACCUUCAGUGGCUUUCUUAUCUUUCCUCCCAGAUGGACAUUGACUAAUUAGAAUAAGGAACUAAAGAUCAAGACUCACAAAAUCAUCUCUGUCAUAUGAACACAGCGGAAAAAGAUCUUACAAAAUAGCCAACUGAGUCUUUUAAACAAGGUGUCUACAGACAUAAACCACUGCUAAACCUACUAUUGUGUGUGAGAGGGAGAAUCACUUUUUUACUGUUUUUAUUCACCCCAUGUAACACCAUACUAUACUGCAGCAUUAAACUUAUUUCAUGGCUAUGUGUUAUACUAACUAACAUAUUAUGUCAUCAUUAUGCAUCAUCCAGAUGAGCAGAUGUAUGAAAGGUUGUCAUGGGUACAGUUGGCAGAUGUUAGAAAUUCCAAAAGUGUUCUGUAAUGACAACCUGCAGGCAG
ensembl:lncRNA